AUUGAACGCUAGCGGGAUGCUUUACACAUGCAAGUCGAACGAGUGGCGGACGGGUGAGUAAUAUAUCGGAACGUGCCCAGUAGCGGGGGAUAACUACUCGACAGAGUGGCUAAUACCGCAUACUUUUGGAGCGGCCGAUAUCGGAUUAGCUAGUUGGUGGGGUAAAGGCUCACCAAGGCAACGAUCCGUCGCUGGUUUGCAAGGAAGACAAGCCACACUGGGACUGAUACACGGCCCAGACUCCUACGGGAGGCAGCAGUGGGGAAUGUUGGACAAUGGGGGAAAGCCAGAUCCAGCCAUACCGCGUGUAUGAGAAAGCCUUCAAGUUGUAAAGAAAUUUUGGCAGAGAAGCGGUAUCUGCAGAAUAAGCACCGGCUAACUACGUGCCAGCAGCCGCGGUAAGUC
rnacentral:rRNA from 1 species